rnacentral:rRNA from 1 species
AUUGAACGCUGGCGGCAGGCCUAACACAUGCAAGUCGAACGAGUGGCGGACGGGUGAGUAAUGUCUGGGAAACUGCCUGAUGGAGGGGGAUAACUACUGGAAACGGUAGCUAAUACCGCAUACCAUCGGAUGUGCCCAGAUGGGAUUAGCUAGUAGGUGGGGUAACGGCUCACCUAGGCGACGAUCCCUCGCUGGUCUGAGAGGAUGACCAGCCACACGGGAACUGAGACACGGGCCAGACUCCGACGGGAGGCAGCAGUGGGGAAUAUUGCACAAUGGGCGCAAGCCUGAUGCAGCCAUGCCGCGUGUAUGAAGAAGGACUUCGGGUUGUAAAGUACUUUCAUCGGGGAGGCGUUACCCGAAGAAGAAGCACCGGCUAACUCCGUGCCAGCCGCCGCGGUAAUUC